GGCGGGGUGCCUAUACAUGCAAGUCGUACGCUUCUUUUUCCACCGGAGCUUGCUCCACCGGAAAAAGAAGAGUGGCGAACGGGUGAGUAACACGUGGGUAACCUGCCCAUCAGAAGGGGAUAACACUUGGAAACAGGUGCUAAUACCGUAUAACAAUCGAAACCGCAUGGUUUUGAUUUGAAAGGCGCUUUCGGGUGUCGCUGAUGGAUGGACCCGCGGUGCAUUAGCUAGUUGGUGAGGUAACGGCUCACCAAGGCCACGAUGCAUAGCCGACCUGAGAGGGUGAUCGGCCACAUUGGGACUGAGACACGGCCCAAACUCCUACGGGAGGCAGCAGUAGGGAAUCUUCGGCAAUGGACGAAAGUCUGACCGAGCAACGCCGCGUGAGUGAAGAAGGUUUUCGGAUCGUAAAACUCUGUUGUUAGAGAAGAACAAGGAUGAGAGUAACUGUUCAUCCCUUGACGGUAUCUAACCAGAAAGCCACGGCUAACUACGUGCCAGCAGCCGCGGUAAUACGUAGGUGGCAAGCGUUGUCCGGAUUUAUUGGGCGUAAAGCGAGCGCAGGCGGUUUCUUAAGUCUGAUGUGAAAGCCCCCGGCUCAACCGGGGAGGGUCAUUGGAAACUGGGAGACUUGAGUGCAGAAGAGGAGAGUGGAAUUCCAUGUGUAGCGGUGAAAUGCGUAGAUAUAUGGAGGAACACCAGUGGCGAAGGCGGCUCUCUGGUCUGUAACUGACGCUGAGGCUCGAAAGCGUGGGGAGCAAACAGGAUUAGAUACCCUGGUAGUCCACGCCGUAAACGAUGAGUGCUAAGUGUUGGAGGGUUUCCGCCCUUCAGUGCUGCAGCUAACGCAUUAAGCACUCCGCCUGGGGAGUACGACCGCAAGGUUGAAACUCAAAGGAAUUGACGGGGGCCCGCACAAGCGGUGGAGCAUGUGGUUUAAUUCGAAGCAACGCGAAGAACCUUACCAGGUCUUGACAUCCUUUGACCACU
rnacentral:rRNA from 1 species